rfam:Candidatus Omnitrophica bacterium CG1_02_41_171 cg1_0.2_scaffold_6554_c, whole genome shotgun sequence.
GGAGAGGUCGCAUAGCCUGGUCGAGUGCGCGCGACUGGAAAUCGCGUAGACUGAAAGGUCUCGGGAGUUCAAAUCUCCCCCUCUCCG